ACAUGUCUGUUUGGAGAUAUAGAAAGUCUGGCCUGCCCACUGAUAAAUUUAAGGGCCGCGGUAAUUUGACCGUGCAAAGGUAGCAUAAUCGUUAGUUUUUUAAUUGGAAUCUUGUAUGAAUGGUUGAACAAAAGAAUAACUGUCUCUGUUUUUAUUUGAAUUUAACUUUUAAGUGAAAAGGCUUAAAUACUUUAAAAAGACGAUAAGACCCUAUAAAGCUUGAUAAAUUUUAUUAUUAAGUUGAAUUAUAAUAUAAUAAUUUAGUAAAAAAGUUUAUUUUGUUGGGGCGACAAUGAUAAAAUGUUUUAACUGUUUAAACAAAGACAAAAAUUACUGGUUAUCGAGUAAAUGAUCCUCUAUAGGGAUUAAAAGUUUAAGUUACUUUAGGGAUAACAGCGUUAUUUUUCUUGAGAGUCCAUAUCGAAAGAAAAGUUUGCGACCUCGAUGUUGAAUUAAAAUUUCUAUAUAAUUGCAGAAGUUAUAGUAGAAGGUCUGUUCGACCUUUAAAUUUUUACGUGAUC
rnacentral:rRNA from 1 species